rnacentral:rRNA from 1 species
GAUCAUGGCUCAGGAUGAACGCUAGCUACAUGCUUAACACAUGCAAGUCGAGGGGCAUCAGGGUGUAGCAAUACACCGCUGGCGACCGGCGCACGGGUGAGUAACACGUAUCCAACCUGCCCUUUACUCGGGGAUAGCCUUUCGAAAGAAAGAUUAAUACCCGACGGCAUAACAUGACCUCCUGGUUUUGUUAUUAAAGAAUUUCGGUAGAGGAUGGGGAUGCGUUCCAUUAGGCAGUUGGCGGGUAACGG